rnacentral:rRNA from 1 species
UACGGGGGGGGCAAGCGUUGUUCGGAAUUACUGGGCGUAAAGGGCUCGUAGGCGGCCAACUAAGUCAUACGUGAAAUCCCUCGGCUUAACCGGGGAACUGCGUCUGAUACUGGAUGGCUUGAGUUCGGGAGAGGGAUGCGGAAUUCCAGGUGUAGCGGUGAAAUGCGUAGAUAUCAGGAGGAACACCGGUGGCGAAGGCGGGUCUCUGGGCAGUAACUGGCGCUGAGGAGCGAAAGCGUGGGGAGCGAACAGG